CCUACGGGAGGCAGCAGUGGGGAAUAUUGCACAAUGGGCGCAAGCCUGAUGCAGCGACGCCGCGUGAGGGAUGACGGCCUUCGGGUUGUAAACCUCUUUCAGUAGGGAAGAAGCGAAAGUGACGGUACCUGCAGAAGAAGCGCCGGCUAACUACGUGCCAGCAGCCGCGGUAAUACGUAGGGCGCAAGCGUUAUCCGGAAUUAUUGGGCGUAAAGAGCUCGUAGGCGGUUUGUCGCGUCUGCUGUGAAAGACCGGGGCUCAACUCCGGUUCUGCAGUGGGUACGGGCAGACUAGAGUGCAGUAGGGGAGACUGGAAUUCCUGGUGUAGCGGUGAAAUGCGCAGAUAUCAGGAGGAACACCGAUGGCGAAGGCAGGUCUCUGGGCUGUAACUGACGCUGAGGAGCGAAAGCAUGGGGAGCGAACAGGAUUAGAUACCCUGGUAGUCCAUGCCGUAAACGUUGGGCACUAGGUGUGGGGGUACAUUCCACGUUUUCCGCGCCGUAGCUAACGCAUUAAGUGCCCCGCCUGGGGAGUACGGCCGCAAGGCUAAAACGUCAAAUGAAUUGACGG
rnacentral:rRNA from 1 species